UACGUAGGGUGCAAGCGUUGUCCGGAAUUAUUGGGCGUAAAGGGCUCGUAGGCGGUUUGUCGCGUCGGGAGUGAAAACUCAGGGCUUAACCCUGAGCCUGCUUCCGAUACGGGCAGACUAGAGGUAUGCAGGGGAGAAUGGAAUUCCUGGUGUAGCGGUGAAAUGCGCAGAUAUCAGGAGGAACACCGGUGGCGAAGGCGGUUCUCUGGGCAUGACCUGACGCUGAGGAGCGAAAGUGUGGGGAGCGAACAGG
rnacentral:rRNA from 1 species